UACGGGGGGGGCAAGCGUUGUUCGGAAUUACUGGGCGUAAAGGGCGCGUAGGCGGUUCGAUAAGUCAGCUGUGAAAACCAUGGGCUUAACUCAUGGCCUGCAGUUGAGACUGUCGGGCUGGAGUGUGGGAGAGGAGAGUGGAAUUCCUGGUGUAGCGGUGAAAUGCGUAGAUAUCAGGAGGAACACCGGUGGCGAAGGCGGUUCUCUGGGAGUGUUCUGACGCUGAGGAGCGAAAGUGUGGGGAGCGAACAGG
rnacentral:rRNA from 1 species